rnacentral:rRNA from 1 species
AGAUUAAGUUAUUAAGGGCGCACGGUGGAUGCCUUGGCACUAGAAGCCGAUGAAGGACGUUACUAACGACGAUAUGCUUUGGGGAGCUGUAAGUAAGCUUUGAUCCAGAGAUUUCCGAAUGGGGAAACCCAGCAUGAGUUAUGUCAUGUUAUCGAUAUGUGAAUACAUAGCAUAUCAGAAGGCACACCCGGAGAACUGAAACAUCUUAGUACCCGGAGGAAGAGAAAGAAAAUUCGAUUCCCUUAGUAGCGGCGAGCGAAACGGGAAGAGCCCAAACCAACAAGCUUGCUUGUUGGGGUUGUAGGACACUCUAUACGGAGUUACAAAGGACGACAUUAGACGAAUCAUCUGGAAAGAUGAAUCAAAGAAGGUAAUAAUCCUGUAGUCGAAAAUGUUGUCUCUCUUGAGUGGAUCCUGAGUACGGCGGGACACGUGAAAUCCCGUCGGAAUCUGGGAGGACCAUCUCCUAAGGCUAAAUACUCUCUAGUGACCGAUAGUGAACCAGUACCGUGAGGGAAAGGUGAAAAGCACCCCGGAAGGGGAGUGAAAUAGAACCUGAAACCGUGUGCUUACAAGUAGUCAGAGCCCGUUAAUGGGUGAUGGCGUGCCUUUUGUAGAAUGAACCGGCGAGUUACGAUUUGAUGCAAGGUUAAGCAGUAAAUGUGGAGCCGUAGCGAAAGCGAGUCUGAAUAGGGCGUUUAGUAUUUGGUCGUAGACCCGAAACCAGGUGAUCUACCCUUGGUCAGGUUGAAGUUCAGGUAACACUGAAUGGAGGACCGAACCGACUUACGUUGAAAAGUGAGCGGAUGAACUGAGGGUAGCGGAGAAAUUCCAAUCGAACCUG